GCAAGGCUAAAACUCAAAUGAAUUGACGGGGGCCCGCACAAGCGGUGGAGCAUGUGGUUUAAUUCGAUGCAACGCGAAGAGCCUUACCUACCCUUGACAUCCAGAGAAUCUGUUAGAGAUAAUUGAGUGCCUUCGGGAACUCUGAGACAGGUGCUGCAUGGCUGUCGUCAGCUCGUGUUGUGAAAUGUUGGGUUAAGUCCCGUAACGAGCGCAACCCUUAUCCUUAGUUGCCAGCACGUAAUGGUGGGAACUCUAGGGAGACUGCCGGUGAUAAACCGGAGGAAGGUGGGGACGACGUCAAGUCAUCAUGGCCCUUAUGGGUAGGGCUACACACGUGCUACAAUGGCCAGUACAGAGGGCUGCAAACUUGCGAGAGUAAGCAAAUCCCAGAAAGCUGGUCUUAGUCCGGAUUGGAGUCUGCAACUCGACUCCAUGAAGUUGGAAUCGCUAGUAAUCGCGAAUCAGAACGUCGCGGUGAAUACGUUCCCGGGCCUUGUACACACCGCCCGUCACACCAUGGGAGUGGGUUGCAAAAGAAGUGGGUAGACUAACCUUCGGGAGGUCGCUCACCACUUUGUGGUUCAUGACUGGGGUGAAGUCGUAACAAGGUA
rnacentral:rRNA from 1 species